CCUACGGGAGGCAGCAGUAGGGAAUCUUCCGCAAUGGACGAAAGUCUGACGGAGCAACGCCGCGUGAGUGAUGAAGGCUUUCGGGUCGUAAAACUCUGUUGUUAGGGAAGAACAAGUGCUAGUUGAAUAAGCUGGCACCUUGACGGUACCUAACCAGAAAGCCACGGCUAACUACGUGCCAGCAGCCGCGGUAA
rnacentral:rRNA from 2 species